CCUGCGUUGGAAGUAGCAUCUCGUGUGUUGCCAGUGGUACUUGUGGUCCCGUAGUCCUUCUCGAUUGUCCAAGUGGUCUAGUUUGCUGUGCCGUACCGCCCACGACCACAACACCACAGCCCACGACUACACCUAC